UGUAAAGAGGUUCAUUCUGGUAAUUUUUCUAGUCUUAUUUCUGUUAGAAAAUUCCUUAAACUCAAAUACUCUCAUGUUGUUCACACAAUCAAACGAUGCUGAAUUGCCCUGUACGUGGUCCUUUGUCCUUGGUGCCAUAGGACUUAGGCUUGUCUGUGUGCGUGUGUAUGUGCGUGUGUAUGUGUAUGUGUCCGUCUCUGUCCAUCUUUGUCCAUCUCUGUCCGUCCGUCUGUCUGCACGUCGUUUAGUCUUCCUUUUGUCGUCCACCUUUUGCCUUUCCUUUCUUCUCUUGCUCAUUCACUUUCUCAUUCCAGCUUUUUUCCC